rnacentral:rRNA from 1 species
CAGUAGCCACGGUAAAACGUAGGUGGCAAGCGUUGUCCGGAAUUAUUGGGCGUAAAGGGCUCGCAGGCGGUUUCUUAAGUCUGAUGUGAAAGCCCCCGGCUCAACCGGGGAGGGUCAUUGGAAACUGGGAAACUUGAGUGCAGAAGAGGAGAGUGGAAUUCCACGUGUAGCGGUGAAAUGCGUAGAGAUGUGGAGGAACACCAGUGGCGAAGGCGACUCUCUGGUCUGUAACUGACGCUGAGGAGCGAAAGCGUGGGGAGCGAACAGGAUUAGAUACCCGAGUAGUCCCUGUCUCUUAUAC